AUUGAACGCUGGCGGCAUGCUUUACACAUGCAAGUCGAACGAGUGGCGCACGGGAGAGUAAUACAUCGGAACGUGUCCUAUCGUGGGAGAUAACUGAUCGAAAGAGCAGCUAAGACCGAAUACGAUUGGAGAGGCCGAUGGCCGCUUUGCUAGUUGGUGAGGUAAAGGCGCACCAAGGCGACGAUCGGUAGCUGGUCUGAGAGGACGACCAGCCACACUGGGACUGAGACACGGCCCAGACUCCUACGGGAGGCAGCAGUGGGGAAUUUUGGACAAUGGGGGCAACCCUGAUCCAGCCAUGCCGCGUGCAGGAUGAAGGUCUUCGGAUUGUAAACUGCUUUUGUCAGGUAAGCGGUACCUGAAGGAUAAGCACCGGCUAACUACGUGCCAGCAGCCGCGGUAAUAC
rnacentral:rRNA from 1 species